rnacentral:lncRNA from 1 species
GUAGUUAACCAGUAGUGGGUAGUUAUCCAGUAGUGGAUAGUUAACCAGUAGUGGGUAGUUAUCCAGUAGUGGAUAGUGGCAUAGAUCAUGGAUCGAUGCAGUGGGUAGUGGCAUAGAUCAUGGGUCCAUGCAUAGUAGUGGGAAGUGGCAAAGAUCAUGGGUCUUUAUUUAGGUUAUAUAAAGCAUCUCUUUUUCCAUAUUGUAGAUAGAUUAUCAAUUAUUCAAUACAAUUACUUUAUGCGAUUCUUCUUUGAGAGCUUAAGAGAGAUCUUGGUUCUUGACACUGCAUCACGAAUAAGGUUCGAUACUAACUUUUAUGUUUCUUAUUCUUGCUGUUUUUAAAAUCAAUCAGUUAUAAGUGUUCUUAAUUGCAUGUUAAUUAAUGGUGCUUUAGAUUGGGGAAUUGUUUUCUGAACUAAGUUCUUUUUACAAGGGUAUGUAUCGUUUCAGUCUCUAAUAGGCUGGGGUUCCGCGUCAAUUGGUAUCAGAGCUAGGCUUAGUAAUAAUUUCUUAACUAUCCUUGUGUCUUUUCUUCAAUUUUUCAUGAUCUUUCCGUUUGGGAUACCUACCAGAGUCGAAUACAUUGUUUAGUUGCUGUUCAAAUCGUAUUUUACCCUAAAUUCUUGUUUAGGCAGAAUUACUAUCUUCAGUGGUUUGGUUUGUGCUUUCUGCUCUAAUUCGUAUGCUCCUAUUCUAACACUAUUAGAAUAGUAUUUCCAGUGUUUUACUUUAGUCCAUAUAAAAAAAAAUACCAAAAAGAAGAAAAAAAAAAGAAAAAGAAUUUCUGCAAUUUGGGUUAAUUGUUCAAACUUCAUUUUGAUAUUGAUACCUACUGGUACAAAUCAUAUUUCAUAUACUUUGAACAUAUUUCAGGGUUUGGGAUUCGAAAUACAUGUUUGGGUAGGUUUAGGGCAAAUUUGGGUAGUAUUUUCACAAAAAAUAGUUUUACUUAAUACUGGCUGUUUUAAGUGUCUUUUUUGUUUGCUUGCUUUGAAUUGUUUUUGUUGAGUCAAUAUUAAGAUCAAUUAACCUAGGAUUGCAUGCUUAGGGAUAACUUCGUGUUAAGCACAUCCGUCUUGUUAAUUUUUGAUUCUUAGUUUGUCAAUUUGGUGUCUUUCUGUUUGUUGGUUCCUUACACUUAGUUUGACAAAUUGCACAUUGUUGAACAUCUAAUUACACUUAGUACACGAAAUUUUACUUUUGUGUGCUAAAUCAAUCCGUUUGUUCAUUUUGGUCAGUUUGCAUCUAGUGUUGUUUCCUAUCUUUUCUUGUUAGGUCUUUCCUUGCUUUCCUUAUUAUUUGAAUCAUACAAGCUUGGCUUAUUGAGUCUUUAUUCUAAAGUGCACUUUUGAGAUACCAAGUAAGUGCUUGAAAGUUAAACACGUGAGUUGAGAGAAUUGUGAAUUUUUCUAUAAUGUCUGGGCAUAAUACUGGUGAUAUUUCUGACUCUACGUUUGAUCUUAAAGAUAUGUAUAAAGCUUUCAUGGAUAGCUUUCAGAAGCUAAAUUUGAGAAUGGAUAACCUUGAGGACAACCUUAGAUCUUCAAAGGGCAAGUCCAAUCAGGGGGAUGAUGAUACACACGAUCCAUCCUACGAAAAGGAAAAUGUGGCACAAUCAGCCCCUUUCCGAGCCAGAAGGUUCAAUGAUCGUGUACCCUAUGUAGAUAACAAUAUGAACUCCAUAAAGAUGAAGAUUCCAAGCUUCAAUGGUAAGGCUGAUGUUGAUGCCUAUUUAGAGUGGGAGCGUAAAGUGGAGAUGGUUUUUAACUGUCAAAGCUAUUCCGACGAUAAGAAGGUAAAACUUGCUGCCCUUGAGUUUUCAGACUAUGCACUAAUAUGGUAGGAUGAGCUUGUGAAAUCUAGGAGAAGGAAUGGAGAGUUACCCAUUGCUAGUUGGGAAGAGAUGAAGCGAAUCAUGAGGAAGAAAUAUGUGCCUACUUAUUACCAUAGAGAUCUCCAUCAUCAGUUGCAAAGAUUAACCCAAGGAUCAAAAUCUGUUGAUGAGUAUUAUAAGGAGAUGGAGUUGCUCCUGAUCAAAGCAAACAUAGUGGAGGAGGAAGACCAGACCAUGGCUCGUUUCUUUGGUGGUCUAAACAAGGAGAUUGCUGAUGUGGUUGAUUUGCAACCAUAUGUUGAUUUGGAAGACUUGGUGAACAUUGCCAUUAAGGUGGAAAGACAGAGGCCGAAAUAGAUGGAGGAGUAACAGGGCUGCUCAAAACUCCAACAGCAAAUGGGGUUCCAAAUGGAACACCAAGACUGAUCCUAAAAGGUUUGAUAAGUCUUCAACUCAAAAAGGCAUGUUACCUUCCAAAGAAACAUCCAACUCUCUUAGUAAAAAUGAAUCAGCCCCUAAAUCUAAUAGGACUAGAGAUAUUCAGUGCUUUAAAUGUAAAGGGCGUGGGCAUUAUGCCAAUGAGUGUGUUAAUAAACGUGCCAUGAUAGUGAGGGGAGAUGAGAUAGUCUCCGAAACUGAUUUUGAUUCUAAUGAAAUACCACCUUUAGAAGAUUGUUCUGAUGUAAAGAUAGAAGAGUAUCCUGUUCAGGGAGAGUCCUUGGUCAUAUUGCGUACUUUAAAUGUUUCUAUUAAAGAAGAGGGGCUUGAACAGCGUGAAAACAUCUUUCACACUCGUUGUUUGAUAGGUGGUAAAGUCUGUUACAUGAUAAUAGAUUCGGGUAGUCAAGUUAAUUGUGCUAGUACUAUUUUAGUUGAUAAAUUAGGACUAGAAACUAUUAAACACCCUAAUCCUUACAGACUUGAGUGGUUGAAUGAUAGUGGCGAGGCAAAGGUAACCAAGCAAUGUAAAGUGUCAUUUUCUAUUGGCAAGUAUGUAGAUGAGGUUACUUGUGAUAUUGUACCCAUGCAGGCUGGACAUAUUAUGUUGGGUAGACCAUGACAAUUUGAUAGGCGUGUCAUGCAUGAUGGGUAUGGUAAUAGGUUUUCUUUUACGUUCCUUGGCGCAAAACAUAUACUUGUACCAUUAUCUCCUAAAGAUGUAUAUGCAGAUCAAGUGAAAUUACAACAAUCUGCUAAAUUGGGUAAGGGAGGUGAGACAAGUAAAAAGAAUGAGGGAAAAGAGGCCAGUAGUAAAAAGAAGGUUUCAAAUGGCCCAAAGGAGAGUGACUGCACAAGAAAGGAUAAAAAUGAGAGACGUGCAGGAGAGAAAACGUUAGUGAGUGUGGAGGUAAAAGGAGAGUUGAGUGAGAAGAGUGAAGAAUUCAGCAAGUCUUCCUUUUAUUGUAAAGAGAGAGAGUUGAAGAAGGCAUACUUAGGGAAGAGAGCUUUGAUUAUGUUGCGUUUUAGUUCCAAUUUUAUGAUUGAGAUUAACCCUACUAAUGAAUUGCCUAGUUCUUUUUCUAAGUUAUUGCAGGAUUUUGCGGAUGUAUUUCCUGAGGAGGUGCCAUCUGGGUUGCCACCCAUUAGGGGAAUAGAACAUCAGAUCGAUUUUGUUCCUGGAGCUCAGAUUCCAAACCAUCCAGCUUACCGGAGUAAUCCUGAGGAGACGAAGGAAUUGCAAAAGCAAGUUGAUGAGUUGCUAGCUAAGGGACAUAUCAGGGAGAGCCUCAGUCUAUGCGCAGUACCUGUUUCGUUGGUUCCAAAGAAAGAUGGAACAAUGCGCAUGUGUGUUGAUUGUCGUGCGAUCAACAAAAUCACUAUAAAGUAUCGCCAUCCUAUUCCUAGAUUAGAUGAUAUGCUUGAAGAAUUAUGUGGCGCUGUUUUCUUUACCAAAAUUAAUUUGAAAAGCGGUUAUCAUUAAAUUAGGAUGAAGUUAGGUGAUGAGUGGAAAACUGCCUUUAGGACUAAAUAUGGUUUAUAUGAAUGGUUAGUGAUGCCUUUUGGCUUAACUAAUGCACCUAGCACAUUUAUGAGAUUGAUGAACCAUGUUUUGCGUGAUUACCUAGAUAAGUUUGUGGUUGUCUAUUUUGAUGAUAUAUUGAUUUAUAGCCGAAACCAUGAUGAUCAUAUUAGGCAUGUUGAACUUGUUCUACAAAAGUUGCGUGAACAUGAAUUGUAUGCUAAUCUUAAGAAAUGCACAUUUUGUACUGAUAGUGUCAUAUUCCUAGGAUUUAUUAUUAGUUCACGGGGAGUUGAGGUAGAUACUGAAAAGGUUAAGGCUAUCCAAGAAUGGCCUACACCUAAGAAUGCUAAUGAGGUGAGAUCCUUUCAUGGAUUAGCAAGCUUCUAUAGGAGGUUUGUUAGAGAUUUCAGCACUAUUGCUGCACCUCUAAAUGAGAUUAUUAAAAAGGCUGUUGGGUUUAAAUGAGGUAAAGAACAGGAACUUGCAUUUAACACAUUAAAGGAAAAACUUACUGCUGCUCUUGUUUUAAGGUUACCUGAUUUUUCUAAAACCUUUGAAAUCGAAUGUGAUGCUUCUGGGAUUGGUAUUGGUGCUGUUCUUAUGCAGGAAGGCCAACCUAUAGCAUAUUUCAGUGAGAGCACUACUUGCUGCCUAAUGAGUUUGUGAUUCAUACCGACCAUCAAUCUCUCAAACACUUGAAGGGUCAAGGUAAGUUGAACAAGCGGCAUGGUAAGUGGGUUGAGUAUCUCGAAAUCUUUCCUUAUGUGAUUAAAUACAAGCAAGGUCAAGAGAAUGUGGCAGCUGAUGCAUUAUCUAGACGUUAUGCAUUGACUUCCAUGCUUAGUUCUAAUUUGUUAGGGUUUGAGCAUUUGAAAGACAUGUAUGAGAAUGAUACUGAUUUUUCUGAUGUAUUUAAGGCAUGUGAACAUGGGGCGUUUAACAAGUUUUAUUUGCAUGAUGGGUUUCUUUUUAGAGGGAAACAAAUAUGCAUAUCCAAUUGUUCAGUGCGUGAGUUGCUUGUUAGAGAAUCACAUUCAGGAGGGUUAAUGGGACAUUUUGGUGUGCAAAAGACUUUAAACAUGUUGAAUGAACACUUUUAUUGGCCUAACAUGCGAAAAUAUGUAGAAAAAAUUUGUGCUCAAUGCUUUGCAUGUAAACAAGCUAAAACUAAGUCCUUGCCACAUGGGUUGUAUACUCCUUUGCCUGUACCUACUGAACCUUGGACUGAUAUUUCUAUGGAUUUUGUGAUAGGUUUACCUAGGACAAAACGUGGUAGAGAUUCAGUGUUUGUUGUUGUAGAUCGCUUUAGUAAGAUGGCACAUUUUAUUCCAUGCCAUAAAACUGAUGAUGUAACAAACAUAGCUGAUUUGUUUUUCAGGGAAGUAGUCCGUUUGCAUGGUAUACCUAGGACUAUUGUUUCUGAUAGAGAUUCUAAGUUCCUUAGUCAUUUCUGGCGUGUUUUGUGGGGGAAAUUGGGUACUAAGCUUUUAUUUUCUACUACUUGUCAUCCACAGACAGAUGGCCAAACUGAAGUUGUUAAUAGGACUUUAGGAACUAUGCUUCGUGCUAUUGUGGGAAGGAACUUAAAAACUUGGGAAGAAUGUUUGCCAUAUGUUGAAUUUGCUUAUAAUCGCGCUGUCCAUUCUUCUACUGGUUAUUCACCUUUUGAGAUUGUGUAUGGUUUUAAUCCAUUAACUGUAUUAGAUUUAAUGCCUUUACCUUUGAACGAGUUGUCUAAUUUAGAUGGAAAAGCGAAGGCUGAAAUGGUUACAUCAAUACACAUGAAAGCGCGUGAGCAUAUUGAGAAGCGUAACAAAAUGUAUGAGAAACAGGCCAAUAAGGGUCGCAAGAAAGUUGUAUUUAGACCAGGUGAUUGGGUUUGGAUCCAUAUGCGAAAGGAGAGGUUUCCUAAUCUAAGGAAAUCAAAAUUGGAUGCACGAGGGGAUGGACCAUAUCAAGUGCUGAAACGGAUCAAUGACAACGCAUAUGUAAUUGAUCUGCCAGGUGAGUUUGGUGUAAGUGCUACCUUUAAUGUUUCUGAUUUGUCUCCUUUUGAUUUUGGUACAGAUUCAAGGACGAAUCCUUUUCAAGAGGGAGGGGAUGAUGUAAGCACAACCAACAACACUGAUGAGCUAGCAUUGCCUCAAGGAACAAUUACAAGGUUGAGAUCCAAGAGGUUGAAGGAAGCACUUCAAAGAUUCAUAAAGGAAUAUGUUGAAGCUUUGCAAGUUCAUUUUGAAGUUGAAGAAGAAUCUGGCCAUUCCAAGUCAAUUAGGCCGAAUGUGUUCUUAUUGACAGUUCAAAGUUUGUAUUUAUAGUGAGUAGUUAUUUAAUAGUGGGUAGUUAUUUAGUAGUGGGUAGUUAUUUAGCAGUUGGUAGUUAACCAGUAGUGGGUAGUUAACCAGUAGUGGGUAGUUAACCAGUAGUGGGUAGUUAUCCAGUAAUGGAUAGUUAACCAGUAGUGGGUAGUUAUCCAGUAGUGGAUAGUGGCAUAAAUCAUGGAUCGAUGCAAUGGGUAGUGGCAUAGAUCAUGAGUCCAUGCAUAGUAGUGGGAAGUGGCAAAGAUCAUGGGUCUUUAUUUAGGUUAUAUAAAGCAUCUCUUUUUCCAUAUUGUAGAUAGAUUAUCAAUUAUUCAAUACAAUUACUUUAUGCGAUUCUUCUUUGAGAGCUUAAGAGAGAUCUUGGUUCUUGACACUGCAUCACGAAUAAGGUUCGAUACUAACUUUUAUGUUUCUUAUUCUUGCUGUUUUUAAAAUCAAUCAGUUAUAAGUGUUCUUAAUUGCAUGUUAAUUAAGGGUGCUUUAGACUGGGGAAUUGUUUUCUGAACUAAGUUCUUUUUACUAGGGUAUGUGUCGUUUCAGUCUCUAAUAGGCUGGGGUUCCGCGUCAGUGUCAGCUACAAAUUAGUAGUAGAUAAAGAUCAGUUAACAGAAUAUGUAUGUCAAGGAACAAACGCAUGCGAACUAAGGGGGGGAAUAUUACAGAAAAGUCCAGAGGAGGAGUUUAAUUUGGAAACAAAAUUAGAAGAGGGACAACAUUAACUUUCAUAAGUUGUGUAAUGCCACAAAGAAAACUGCGCUGUAACAACCACCAAUUUUCCAGUUAGAAGAAAACAUGCCAAGUAAAAGAAACAAAUAAGCCUUCUUCCCUGUGGCCUAUAUUCUUAUAGUCAUUUUCCUAAUUAUGCAAAAUAAAGUAUAAAUGCCAGCAAAUCAAUUUUAGUAGCAUACCAGUACAAUUACUUAGCACUGGAAAUUUAGACUAGAACUUCCAAUCCAAGCAAGGAAACCAAACAAUAAUAACUGAC